rnacentral:rRNA from 1 species
UACAGAGGUCCCAAGCGUUGUUCGGAUUCACUGGGCGUAAAGGGUGCGUAGGUGGUGAGGUAAGUCGGAUGUGAAAUCUCCGAGCUCAACUCGGAAAUGGCAUUGGAAACUACCUUGCUCGAGGGUUGGAGGGGGACUGGAAUACUUGGUGUAGCAGUGAAAUGCGUAGAUAUCAAGUGGAACACCAGUGGCGAAGGCGAGUCCCUGGACAACUCCUGACACUGAGGCACGAAAGCUAGGGGAGCAAACAGG